rnacentral:rRNA from 1 species
AGUGAACGCUGGCGGUAGGCCUAACACAUGCAAGUCGAACGGCAGCACAGUAAAAGCUUGCUCUUACGGGUGGCGAGUGGCGGACGGGUGAGGAAUACAUCGGAAUCUACUUUUUCGUGGGGGAUAACGUAGGGAAACUUACGCUAAUACCGCAUACGAACUACGGGGGAAAGCAGGGGAUCUUCGGACCUUGCGCGAUUGAAUGAGCCGAUGUAGGAUUAGCUAGUUGGCGGGGUAAAGGCCCACCAAGGCGACGAUCCGUAGCUGGUCUGAGAGGAUGAUCAGCCACACUGGAACUGAGACACGGUCCAGACUCCUACGGGAGGCAGCAGUGGGGAAUAUUGGACAAUGGGCGCAAGCCUGAUCCAGCCAUACCGCGUGGAUGAAGAAGGCCUUCGGGUUGUAAAGCCCUUUUGUUGGGAAAGAAAAGCAGCAGGUUAAUACCCCGCUGUUCUGACGGUACCCAAAGAAUAAGCACCGGCUAACUUCGUG